AUACCCGCUCCGCGAGUGGUGAGGACUAUUACUGGGCUUAAAGCGCCCGUAGCCGGCCGGGUGUGUCCUCCGUUAAAUCCACAGGCCUAACCUGUGGGCUGCGGGGGAUACUACCCGGCUUGGGGGUGGGAGAGGGCGGCGGUAUUCCCGGGGUAGGGGUAAAAUCCACUGAUCCCGGGAGGACCACCAGUGGCGAAGGCGGCCGCCCAGAACACGCCCGACGGUGAGGGGCGAAAGCUGGGGGAGCAAACGGGAUUAGAAACCCCAGUAGUCC
rnacentral:rRNA from 1 species